rnacentral:lncRNA from 1 species
UUUUUUGUAAUUCUGAAAUAAUUUUGCUCUUUGGAGGUUGCUGCCUCGCUGGUGCUUUGGAGAUGUAUAGCAUUACGAAACCUUUUUAAGUUAUUGCAUAUAUUUUCCAUGUAAGUUAAAUUUCUAAAUAGCCAUCAACAAAUAAGGUUGCAUAUAAAAUUACAAUUAACAAAGAACAUUUCGUAUCAAUGAAUGGAUCUCUUUACUUUUUAAGUUAUUGCAUACAUUUUCCAUGUAAGUUAAAUUUCUAAAUAGCCAUCAACAAAUAAGGUUGCAUAUAAAAUUACAAUUAACAAAGACCAUUUCGUAUCAAUGAAUGGAUCUCUUUACUUGUACGACU